rnacentral:rRNA from 1 species
GAUGAACGCUGGCGGCAGGCCUAAAACAUGCAAGUCGAACGCCCUAGCAAUAGGGAGUGGCGCACGGGUGAGUAACAUGUGGGAAUAUGCCUUUUGGUACGGAACAACGUUUGGAAACGAACGCUAAUACCGUAUGGUCCCUCCGGGGUAAAGAUUUAUCGCCAAAAGAUUAGCCCGCACUAGAUUAGCUAGUUGGUAAGGUAAUGGCUUACCAAGGCGACGAUCUAUAGCUGUUCUGAGAGGAAGAUCAGCCACACUGGGACUGAGACACGGCCCAGACUCCUACGGGAGGCAGCAGUUAGGAAUAUUGGACAAUGGGCGCAAGCCUGAUCCAGCCAUGCCGCGUGAGUGAUGAAGGCCUUCGGGUUGUAAAGCUCUUUAGUCCACGAAUAUAAUGACUGUAGUGGAAGAAUAAGCCCCGGCUAACUUCGUGCCAGCCGCCGCGGUAAAAC